CCUACGGGAGGCAGCAGUGGGGAAUAUUGGACAAUGGGCGCAAGCCUGAUCCAGCAAUGCCGCGUGAGUGAUGAAGGCCUUAGGGUUGUAAAGCUCUUUCGCCCGCGACGAUGAUGACGGUAGCGGGAGAAGAAGCCCCGGCUAACUCCGUGCCAGCAGCCGCGGUAAUACGGCGGGGGCUAGCGUUGUUCGGAAUUACUGGGCGUAAAGGGCGCGCAGGCGGCUGCUCAAGUCAGGCGUGAAAGGCCUGGGCUCAACCCGGGAAUUGCGCUUGAGACUGGGCUGGCUUGAGUGCGGGAGAGGAUGGUGGAAUUCCCAGUGUAGAGGUGAAAUUCGUAGAUAUUGGGAAGAACACCGGUGGCGAAGGCGGCCAUCUGGACCGCAACUGACGCUGAGGCGCGAAAGCGUGGGGAGCAAACAGGAUUAGAUACCCUGGUAGUCCACGCCGUAAACGAUGAGUGCUAGACGCUGGGAGGCCUAGCCUUCCGGUGUCGCAGCUAACGCAUUAAGCACUCCGCCUGGGGAGUACGGCCGCAAGGUUAAAACUCAAAGGAAUUGACGG
rnacentral:rRNA from 1 species